UCUCUGGCCACGUUAAUUGGCGCGAGGGCUCGUGCCCCGCCCCGCGCUUCAGACGUUCGAAGUCGGGUCUGGAGCGCGUAUGUCCCUACCGAACAGCGAUUAAAGACAUGGGACCCCCCGUCGCUGGGAUGCCGCGUAUCGCACGUCGGCGUAAGACCCGCGAGGCCACGGCCACACCAUCGAUACAACUGUCACGAUCGUAUGAAUGAAUUACAACUGGUAGCGUUGGAUCCCUCGGCAUGGCUAUCGAUGAAGAACGCGGCCAGCUGCGAAAUGUGAUGUGAAUUGCAACUCAAAGCGGUUAUCGUGAAUCAUUGACUAUUUGAACGCAUUGCACCGCCCUUCUGGGAUGGUACACCCGAUUGAGAGUCAUAAUGACCUUCAGGUCGGAACGCUUGGCCAUUCGAUUGGCAGACGCACCGGCGCCGCAACCCACCACACUCUGGUGGCGGAGGCGUGCUUGCGUGGGUGUCUCCGAUGCUGGCUCCGAGGCCGCACGGCACAUUGGUGUCGCGUGCCUUCAGAUGCAUUAGCGACGGCUUGGAGAACGAGUUGGACUCUGUGUAAUGAUGAUUUCGCGCAGAGGAGUGCCUCGGCACGCUUGUUUCCCGUGGCGCCGCUUCGAACCCGCCGUUGCCCCCGGCAAACCGCAAAGGCCUCCCAUG
rnacentral:rRNA from 1 species